GCGAUGAGGAAUGAAAAGGGAAUGCAGUGAGAAUCUGCGACAAUACCCGUUGCUGUGAGUUCCUGCCCCGGACAUGGGGCGCAAAAGGUUUUACAAUCUUUGCCACUGGCCGCAAGGCUGGGAAGGCGUAAAACCGGAACAAGUCAGAAGACCUGCCGAUGCCUUUA
rnacentral:ncRNA from 2 species